AUAUCUCUCUGUACCGGAAGGAUGAGAAGCUUCGACUAAGGUUCGAUUCGAGCGCAGCGAGAAAGCGUUGCCGCAGGCAACGACCCGAAGGGCGAAACGCGCAGCGCUGAGUCAUCCUUCCCCCACCACCA
rnacentral:sRNA from 2 species